rnacentral:Y_RNA from 1 species
GCGUGGUCGGAGUGCAGUGCUGUUUACAGCUGAUUGAUCACAACCACUUACAGGUUUCUUUGUUCUUUCUCCACUCCCACUUCCUCACUUGACUAGACUGAA